AGAGCGAACGCUGGCGGCAGGCCUAACACAUGCAAGUCGAGCGCCCCGCAAGGGGAGCGGCAGACGGGAGAGUAACACGUGGGAACGUACCCUUCAGUUCGGAACAACCCAGGGAAACUUGGGCUAAUACCGAAUACGUCCGUAAGGAGAAAGAUUUAUCGCUGAAGGAUCGGCCCGCGUCUGAUUAGCUAGUUGGUGAGGUAACGGCUCACCAAGGCUACGAUCAGUAGCUGGUCUGAGAGGAUGAUCAGCCACAUUGGGACUGAGACACGGCCCAAACUCCUACGGGAGGCAGCAGUGGGGAAUAUUGGACAAUGGGCGCAAGCCUGAUCCAGCCAUGCCGCGUGAGUGAUGAAGGCCCUAGGGUUGUAAAGCUCUUUUGUGCGGGAAGAUAAUGACGGUACCGCAAGAAUAAGCCCCGGCUAACUUCGUGCCAGCAGCCGC
rnacentral:rRNA from 1 species